rnacentral:rRNA from 1 species
AGCAGCCGCGGUAAUUCCAGCUCCAAUAGCGUAUAUUAAAGUUGUUGCAGUUAAAAAGCUCGUAGUUGAAUUUCGGGGUCGGUAGGUUGGUCAUGCCUCUGGUAUGCACUGGUCUCACUGAUUCCUCCUUCCUGAUGAGCCGUAAUGCCAUUAAUUUGGUGUUGCGAGGAAUCUGGACUGUUACUUUGAAAAAUUAGAGUGUUUAAAGCAAGCUAACGCUUGAAUACAUUAGCAUGGAAUAAUGGAAUAGGACGUUCGAUCCUAUUUUGUUGGUUUCUAGGAUUGACGUAAUGAUUAAUAGGGAUAGUUGGGGCAUUAGUAUUCAAUUGUCAGAGGUGAAAUUCUUGGAUUUAUUGAAGACUAACUACUGCGAAAGCAUUUGCCAAGGAUAGUUUUCAUUA